rnacentral:rRNA from 1 species
AUGUUAACCCAUGCUCCCGACGAGCUUCGUGACCACCUCUAUGUCAGGGCAUUUAUCUUUCCGGAUCCGUCGGCAGGGAGCUACAUUGUGGUUCUCAUCCACGGUCCAGAAGGUGAGCUUUCGUUCGCAAGGAUAGGUGAUUGUAAGUGGACCUUGCUGCCCCCUGGUUGGGACUAUAAACAAUGCAUCUACAUGCAUGAUCUAUUGUAUGCAUUCACGGGAACAGGAAGAAUUGAUGCUUUUGAUCUCGGUGGCCCUACCGUCACGAGGAACAUAAUUAUAGAUGAGAUUGACAAUUACAUUAGCUGGGACAUGUGGUAUGUUGUUCAGGCACCGUGUGACGGCCUGCUGCAAGUCCGCAGAAAGAUUGAACUAAUAGAUGCGGCUUCUGAGGACCUCAUAGCUAUUAAAACUAGAAAAAUCUUGUUAUACAAAGUUGAUAUGGCAGCAGAAGAGCUUGUGGAAAUAAAUGGCUUGCAACAUCACGUGUUGUUUCUUGGGCGUAAUCAGGCACAGUACCUUAAUGCUGAAGAAUAUCCGCAACUGAAGGCAAAUUGUGUCUAUUUCGCAGAUGAUGAGCAACAUAAUUGGAAGUAUAAGCCGAAUCCCCGGGACAUAGGUGUUCUCAACUUGGAUGAUGACAGUACGGAAGAAAUUGUAUCCCCGCUUUGGUGCAGCUGGCCCAGUCCCAUAUGGAUAACACCCAGUCUUACAGUGAUGAACUUGUCAUUGUACGAAUAG